rnacentral:rRNA from 1 species
AAAACAUAGCCUUUAGCCAAACAAGUAUUAAAGGUGACGCCUGCCCAGUGAUUUUUCAACGGCCGCGGGACCCUACACCGUGCAAAGGUAGCAUAAUCACUUGUCAUCUAAAUAGUGACUAGUAUGAAUGGCCCAAUGAGGACUUUCCUGUCUCUUGUAACCAAUCAAUGAAACUGAUCUUUCAGUCCAAAAGCUGAAAUAUAUACACAAGACGAAAAGACCCUGUGGAACUUUAAGUGCCAAUCAACACAUGACACAACCACUUUUAGUUGGGGCAACUUUGGAACAAAACAAAACUUCCAAUUCAACCAGUAAACCGAGGCCAACACGCCAACGUCUACCUCUUACACUGACCCAGUACCACUGAUCAAAGAAACAAGCUACCCCAGGGAUAACAGCGCCAUCCCCUCUUAGAGUCCAAAUCGACGAGCGGGGCUUACGACCUCGAUGUUGGAUCAGGGCCCCCAAACAGUGCAGCAGCUGUUAAAGGUUUGUUUGUUCAACAAUUAAUG